rnacentral:rRNA from 1 species
GACGAACGCUGGCGGCGUGCCUAACACAUGCGAGUCGAACGGAAAGGCCCUGCUUUUGUGGGGUGCUCGAGUGGCGAUCGGGUGAGUAACACGUGAGUAACCUGCCCUUGACUUUGGGAUAACUUCAGGAAACUGGGGCUAAUAACGGAUAGGAGCUCCUGCUGCAUGGUGGGGGUUGGAAAGUUUCGGCGGUUGGGGAUGGACUCGCGGCUUAUCAGCUUGUUGGUGGGGUAGUGGCUUACCAAGGCUUUGACGGGUAGCCGGCCUGAGAGGGUGACCGGCCACAUUGGGACUGAGAGACGGCCCAGACUCCUACGGGAGGCAGCAGUGGGGAAUAUUGCACAAUGGGCGGAAGCCUGAUGCAGCAACGCCGCGUGCGGGAUGACGGCCUUCGGGUUGUAAACCGCUUUCGCCUGUGACGAAGCGUGAGUGACGGUAAUGGGUGGAGAAGCACCGGCUAACUACGUG